AGGUCAACCCUAACCUACUAGUAGUACUGAUAGGCAGCAUUGGGAAAGAAGCACUACGCUUGGGAAUCAAGAACACGAAAACUUUGUAUCUAUAUAUAGAGAGAUAGAUAUCCAUGUCUUAUCGAGAUUGCGACAAACAAGAAUGGUUGGGACAAUAAAUAUCCAUCUCGUUCAUAUUUUGGAUACCCAUAUAACCAUCGAAGAUUAUUGAGGUGACUAAUUCCGCGAAAUUAAGCAGCGUUGAGGACAAAGAAAUUGUUGGAGUUACUGUUUUUUUUAUCCAGUACCAACAUACUUAAUGUUAAGAAAUCAUUUUUUACAGGAAGGUUGGCUAGAUAUUUUUUUGUAAAAACACUAGCCCUGUUCAGUUAAUAAUGAGAAUACUGCAAUCUUUUUUGAUUCUAUGUAUUUUUAUCAUUACACACAUAAGGGAGGAGCCGUAUGAGAUGAAAAUCUCACGUACGGUUCUGGAGCGGAGAUUCUUUGAACCGAAUGACGACCGUAACGGAUGUCAGCUCAAUCUGAAGGAAAUUAUGCGGAAGCUUUACAGAAUUAUUAUGAGGCUAUGCGACUGGAAAUUGAUCCCUAUGAUCGAAGUUAUAUACUUUAUAACAUAGGCCUUAUCCACACAAGUAACGGAGAACAUACUAAAGCUUUGGAAUAUUAUUUUCGGGCGCUCGAGCGAAACCCAUUCUUACCCCAAGCUUUUAAUAAUAUGGCCGUGAUCUGUCAUUACGUGCGACUAUCUCCACUAUAGAAAGAAAAAAGAAAAGAACAAGCAAAUCCACAAAUACUAAUAUAAUAAAUACUAGAAAUAAAGGCUUUCUACAUAUACAUAUAUCGUCCAAAACAACGAUUUUUAUCAGCUGUAGCAAAGAAUGAAACUUCAUAGAAGUCCAAAUAUGAAGAAAUCAAUAUGUCUAGAUACCCCCUUUUCUAUGGAUAAAAGAUCUAAUUGAUAAAGGAAGCAUCGUAAGGAUCCAUUAACGCGGUUUUGAACCGAUACAAUAAAAACUGCUUACUUAUCUCAUGAUAGAAAAGUCAGGAAUCCACUUAUGUAAUAAAGUAGAUCCCCCGAUAUUUUGAGCAGCGGUGUAGUAUCAAAUCCCAAAGAUAGAAAGUCUUUUCUCUUUACUUUAUAAAUAAGAAAGAAAAGACUUUUUCCAAGAUUCUAUAGAAAUGGAUAUAUUAUAAAGUAUAUGAUAUAUAAAAUAGAGAUAGUUACUUUUCAGAAAAUUCUAAUGAGGGUGUUAAUGCCGAUGCUUUAUUCCCUUUUCUGAAGGUAGGAGAAAAGAUAAAACUUAAAAAGAAAUUCUUUAUUAGUCCAAAUUCAAGUUUGAAACUUAUGUAAAUAACUUCUUUUUUUCUUUUAGUUAACUUCAAGAUAAUAGAACAAAAAAAGAAUUGACUGCUGAGCCGUAUGAGUCAGGAAAUUCUCAAGUACGGUUCUAAGGAAAGGAAUUGACUCACCUAUUCCGACCGAGGAGAACAGGCCAUUCGACAGGGAGACUCGGAAGUUGCGGAGUCUUGGUUUAAUCAAGCCGCUGAAUAUUGGAAACAAGCUAUAGCCCUAACCCCUGGUAAUUAUAUUGAAGCCCAGAAUUGGUUGAAGAUCACAGGACGUUUUGAAUAAGAACACCUUGUUUUUUUAUUUUUCUUAUAUUUUCUUCUUAAAUUAUAUCUAUCUAUCUAUAAUUCUAUCUAUAUAGAUAGAUAGAUAUCUAUAGUUAUAAAUUUUUGUUUGUUGUCCCCAUCAAUCAAAUUAAAAACUCUUUUCUAUAGGAACGACCAAUCACAGAAAUUAAUUAUAUCCCUUUCAAAUUGUUAGAUUAAGUACAUAAUAAUACUUUUUCUAUAUAAAAAAGGUAAAAUUAGUUCCAUCUAGGAACUUCUGAAUAAAAUAUGAAUACAUUAGAUUAGGCUGCACAAAAAAUUAUUUAACUUCCAUUCAAAGUUCGCAAAAAAGGUCUUAGAAGAUUAAAAAGGUCCGUUGAGCGCCCCACUGUUAUGUCAUAAUAGAUUCGAACACUUGCCCCGGAUUGACUUCGAGAUCAUAAUUGUUCUAGUGAAUAACUAAAGAAAAUAGAUUAAAUUAAAGAAAAUAUAAAAUAGAUAGCUGUGAGAUAGAAGAGAACAAAACUCAAUAGAAACAUCUCUAAUAAGUUCAAAAAUUCUGUUUUAUGUUGGCAGGUCUCUUUGUAUGUGUUGUCUGGAAAGAGGAGGACUCAAUGAUUAUUCGUUCACCGGAACCAGAAGUGAAAAUUUUGGUAGAUAGAGAUCCCAUAAAAACUUCUUUCGAGGAAUGGGCAAAACCAGGUCAUUUCUCAAGAACAAUAGCUAAGGGACCUGAUACUACUACUUGGAUCUGGAACCUACAUGCUGACGCUCAUGAUUUUGAUAGCCAUACUAAUGAUUUAGAGGAGAUUUCCCGAAAAGUUUUUAGUGCCCAUUUCGGCCAACUCUCUAUCAUCUUUCUUUGGCUGAGUGGCAUGUAUUUUCAUGGUGCUCGUUUUUCCAAUUAUGAGGCAUGGUUAAGUGAUCCUACUCACAUUAGGCCUAGUGCUCAGGUGGUUUGGCCAAUAGUGGGCCAAGAAAUAUUGAAUGGUGAUGUAGGGGGAGGGUUCCGAGGAAUACAAAUAACCUCCGGUUUUUUUCAGAUUUGGAGAGCAUCUGGAAUAACUAGUGAAUUACAACUCUAUUGUACCGCAAUUGGUGCAUUGGUCUUUGCAGCCUUAAUGCUUUUUGCUGGUUGGUUUCAUUAUCACAAAGCUGCUCCAAAAUUGGCUUGGUUCCAAGAUGUAGAAUCUAUGUUGAAUCACCAUUUGACAGGGCUCCUGGGGUUGGGAUCUCUUUCUUGGGCAGGACAUCAAAUACAUGUAUCUUUACCAAUUAACCAAUUUCUAAAUGCUGCAGUAGAUCCCAAAGAGAUUCCACUUCCUCAUGAAUUUAUCUUGAAUCGGGAUCUUUUGGCUCAACUUUAUCCGAGUUUUGCCGAGGGAGCAACUCCCUUUUUCACCUUGAAUUGGUCAAAAUACGCAGAAUUUCUUACUUUUCGUGGAGGAUUAGAUCCAGUAACUGGAGGUCUAUGGCUGACCGAUAUUAUACACCAUCAUUUAGCUAUUGCAAUUCUUUUCUUGAUAGCGGGUCACAUGUAUAGGACUAACUGGGGUAUUGGUCACAGUAUAAAAGACAUUUUAGAGGCACAUAAAGGUCCAUUUACGGGCCAGGGUCAUAAAGGUCUAUAUGAGAUCCUAACAACGUCAUGGCAUGCUCAAUUAUCUAUUAACCUAGCUAUGUUAGGUUCUUUGACCAUUGUUGUAGCUCACCAUAUGUAUUCUAUGCCCCCUUAUCCAUACCUAGCUACUGACUAUGGUACACAACUGUCAUUGUUUACACAUCAUAUGUGGAUUGGUGGAUUUCUCAUAGUCGGUGCUGCUGCGCAUGCAGCUAUUUUUAUGGUAAGAGAUUAUGAUCCGACUAUUCGAUACAACGAUCUAUUAGAUCGUGUCCUUAGACAUCGCGAUGCAAUCAUAUCACAUCUUAACUGGGUAUGUAUAUUUUUAGGCUUUCACAGUUUUGGUUUGUAUAUUCAUAAUGAUACCAUGAGCGCUUUAGGGCGUCCUCAAGAUAUGUUUUCAGAUACGGCUAUACAAUUACAACCGGUCUUUGCUCAAUGGAUACAAAAUACCCAUGCUUUAGCACCAGGCACAACAGCCCCAGGUGCAACAACAAGUACCAGUUUGACUUGGGGGGGUGAUAAUUUAGUAGCAGUGGGCGGUAAAGUUGCUUUGUUACCUAUUCCGUUAGGAACUGCGGAUUUUUUGGUCCAUCAUAUUCAUGCAUUUACAAUUCAUGUAACAGUAUUGAUACUCCUAAAGGGUGUUCUAUUUGCUCGUAGUUCACGAUUAAUACCGGAUAAAGCAAAUCUAGGUUUUCGUUUUCCUUGUGAUGGACCUGGAAGAGGGGGGACAUGCCAAGUAUCCGCUUGGGAUCAUGUCUUCUUAGGACUAUUUUGGAUGUACAAUUCCAUUUCGGUAGUAAUAUUCCAUUUCAGUUGGAAAAUGCAGUCAGAUGUUUGGGGUAGUAUAAGUGAUCAAGGGAUAGUAAAUCAUAUCACAGGAGGAAAUUUUGCGCAGAGUUCCAUUACCAUUAAUGGGUGGCUCCGUGAUUUCUUAUGGGCACAGGCAUCCCAGGUAAUUCAGUCUUAUGGUUCUUCAUUAUCUGCAUAUGGUCUUUUUUUCUUGGGUGCACAUUUUGUAUGGGCUUUUAGUUUAAUGUUUCUAUUCAGCGGGCGUGGUUAUUGGCAAGAACUUAUUGAAUCCAUUGUUUGGGCUCAUAAUAAAUUAAAAGUUGCUCCUGCUACUCAGCCUAGAGCCUUGAGCAUUGUACAAGGACGUGCUGUAGGAGUAACACAUUACCUUCUAGGUGGAAUUGCCACAACAUGGGCAUUCUUCUUAGCAAGAAUUAUUGCAGUAGGAUAAUAGCUAGGAGGAUUUGAAAAUCAUUAUGGCAUUAAGAUUUCCAAGGUUUAGUCAAGGCUUAGCUCAAGACCCCACUACUCGUCGUAUUUGGUUUGGUAUUGCUACCGCACAUGACUUCGAAAGUCAUGAUGAUAUUACUGAGGAACGUCUUUAUCAGAAUAUUUUUGCUUCUCAUUUCGGGCAAUUAGCAAUAAUUUUUCUGUGGACUUCCGGGAAUCUGUUUCAUGUAGCUUGGCAAGGGAAUUUUGAAGCAUGGGUACAGGAUCCUUUACAUGUAAGACCUAUAGCUCAUGCAAUUUGGGAUCCUCAUUUUGGUCAACCGGCUGUAGAAGCUUUUACUCGAGGAGGUGCUCUAGGCCCAGUUAAUAUAGCCUAUUCUGGUGUUUAUCAGUGGUGGUAUACAAUCGGUUUACGUACUAAUGGGGAUCUUUAUACUGGAGCUCUUUUUCUAUUAUUUCUUUCUACUAUAUCUUUAAUAGCGGGUUGGUUACACUUGCAACCAAAAUGGAAACCAAGCGUUUCGUGGUUUAAAAAUGCCGAAUCCCGCCUCAAUCAUCAUUUGUCAGGAUUAUUCGGAGUCAGUUCCUUGGCUUGGACAGGGCAUUUAGUCCAUGUCGCUAUUCCGGGAUCCAGGGGGGAAUACGUUCGAUGGAAUAAUUUAUUAAGUAUAUUGCCUCACCCCGAAGGAUUAGGUCCAUUUUUCACAGGUCAGUGGAAUCUUUAUGCUCAAAACCCCGAUUCCAAUAGUCAUAUAUUUGGUACCCCUCAAGGAGCAGGAACUGCUAUUCUAACACUUCUCGGGGGAUUUCAUCCGCAAACUCAAAGUUUAUGGCUGACCGAUAUUGCACACCAUCAUUUAGCUAUUGCAUUUCUUUUUCUAGUUGCUGGCCAUAUGUAUAGAACCAACUUCGGGAUUGGUCACAGUAUAAAAGAUCUUUUAGAAGCACAUACUCCUCCGGGGGGUAGAUUGGGGCGUGGACAUAAGGGUCUUUAUGACACAAUCAAUAAUUCAAUUCAUUUUCAAUUAGGUCUUGCUCUAGCCUCUUUAGGGGUUAUUACUUCCUUGGUAGCUCAACACAUGUACUCUUUACCCGCUUAUGCAUUUAUAGCGCAAGACUUUACUACUCAAGCUGCAUUAUAUACUCAUCAUCAAUAUAUAGCGGGCUUCAUUAUGACAGGGGCUUUUGCUCAUGGAGCUAUAUUUUUUAUUAGAGAUUAUAAUCCAGAACAGAAUGAAGAUAAUGUCUUAGCAAGAAUGUUAGACCAUAAAGAAGCUAUCAUAUCCCACUUAAGUUGGGCUAGCCUCUUUCUGGGGUUCCAUACUCUGGGACUUUAUGUCCAUAAUGAUGUCAUGCUUGCUUUUGGUACUCCGGAGAAACAAAUCUUGAUUGAACCUAUAUUUGCCCAAUGGAUACAAUCUGCUCAUGGUAAAACUUCCUAUGGGUUCGAUAUACUUUUAUCUUCAACGAACAGUCCGGCGUUCAAUGCAGGACGAAGCAUAUGGUUGCCUGGUUGGUUAAACGCUGUUAAUGAGAAUAGUAAUUCUCUAUUCUUAACAAUAGGGCCUGGAGACUUCUUGGUUCAUCAUGCUAUUGCUCUUGGUUUACAUACAACUACAUUGAUCUUAGUAAAGGGUGCUUUGGAUGCGCGUGGUUCUAAGUUAAUGCCAGAUAAAAAAGAUUUUGGUUAUAGUUUUCCUUGCGAUGGCCCGGGACGAGGCGGUACUUGCGAUAUUUCGGCUUGGGACGCAUUUUAUUUGGCAGUUUUCUGGAUGUUAAAUACCAUUGGGUGGGUUACUUUUUAUUGGCAUUGGAAACACAUUACACUAUGGCAGGGUAAUGUUUCACAGUUUAAUGAAUCUUCUACCUAUUUGAUGGGAUGGUUAAGAGAUUAUCUAUGGUUGAACUCUUCACAACUUAUCAACGGAUAUAACCCUUUUGGUAUGAAUAGUUUAUCAGUCUGGGCAUGGAUGUUCUUGUUUGGACAUCUUGUUUGGGCUACUGGAUUUAUGUUCUUAAUUUCCUGGCGCGGAUAUUGGCAGGAAUUGAUUGAAACUUUAGCAUGGGCUCAUGAACGCACACCUUUGGCUAAUUUGAUUCGAUGGAGAGAUAAACCAGUGGCUCUUUCCAUUGUGCAAGCAAGAUUGGUUGGACUAGCCCACUUUUCCGUAGGUUAUAUAUUUACUUAUGCAGCCUUCUUAAUUGCCUCGACUUCGGGCAAAUUUGGUUAAUUUCAUUAAUUCUUUAUUAUUAUAUCUGGCAUAUCAUUUCCUUCUAUGGGGAAGGAAGGCCAUUUAUACAUCUAGGAUCCGACUUCUAUCAUUGAUACUAAUAGGAAAUGAACCACUAUGGCAAGGAAAAGUGUGAUUCAGAGGGAGAAGAAGAGACAAAAAUUGGAACAGAAAUAUCAUUUGAUUCGCCGAUCCUCAAAAAAAGAAAUAAGCAAAGUUCCGUCGUUAAGUGAUAAAUGGAAAAUUCAUGGAAAAUUAGAAUCACUACCGCGUAAUAGUGCACCUAUACGUCUUCAUCGACGUUGUUUUUCGACCGGAAGACCGCGAGCUAAUUAUCGAGACUUUGGAUUAUCCGGACACAUACUUCGUGAAAUGGUUCAUGCAUGUUUAUUGCCCGGUGCAACAAGAUCCAGUUGGUAAGAUAAGUAAGGAUUCCAAAUUCUCUUCAUUUUUCUUAUUUAUUUUUCUUAUCCGCGAUCAUAGGAGGGUCCCUUUACCGUUAUGUAUAAAUGGUUUAUUCUAUUUGUACAGAUAUGGUAAAGGGACGCAUUCCAUCUUUGUUUUUGUUCUUUAGUUAUCAAUUCUUCUCUUUAUCGCGGAGUAGAGCAACUUGGUAGCUCGCAAGGCUCAUAACCUUGAGGUCACGGGUUCAAAUCCCGUCUCCGCAACAUUUUGAAUUUGAUAAAAACAAGGGUUCACUGAAUAAAAAGGGGCAUUAUACACAGUAAAUUCUAUAACAUUUUUCUUACUAUGACUAUUAAAUACAUAUUUAAAUAACUAAGUAGGGGCGGAUAGCGGGAAUCGAACCCGCGUCUUCUCCUUGGCAAAGAGAAAUUUUACCAUUCGACUAUAUCCGCGUUUUUAAUGUACUUGAUAUGUUAUUUUAUUUGUACAGAGAUCGGCCUGAUAUUCUAUUAGGGGUAAUUCAAAAUAAAUGUAUAUAAUAGAUUAUAUCUAUAUAGAUAUAAUCUAUUAUAAUAGAUAUUCUCUUCUAAAUAAAAUCUUUUAUAUUACUAUUAAUUAAGAAUUCAUUUUUGAAUGAAUUUCUAUCAAUAAUUCCUACUUCUAUUAUUAUAUAUUCUUUUUUUCUAUGUAUCUAUAUAAUCGAAUUGAAAUUACGAUUCUAUCAAAUCUUUUUAUUUACUUUCUUUUUUUUUUUUUAAGAAAAAAGAAAGUUCUAAUUAUUAAUAAAUUAUAUCUAUAUAUAUAUAUAUACAGAUAGAUAUUCUAUAUCUUUUAUCUUAAUUAAUAUUUGACCCCUCCUUAUAAUGUGUUAUAGUUUUCUUUAUUUUUAGGAACUUAUCCAUUCCUUUUUUAAUGUGCCCGACAAUCCGAAAGAAUUCUGGGGGAGGGGUCAUUUCGUUUUUGAUCUAGAAUAAAUAGAGCUUCAAGAAAUGAGAGAAUUAAGAAUACCCACGAGAAACACUAAUCCAAUCCAUAAUGAUGUACCGGAAAAUACAACAUUUUUGUUAUUCGACCAACCUUCAGGAGAAGCAAAUACAACAGGUACACUAAUCAAUAAAAUAAAUGAAAUAGCAAUUAAUGCAAAAACAGCUAAUUGGAAAGCAAUAGUCAUGUUUCUAAUCCUCCAAUUUACCAACAAAAGAACUUUACCAUUUGAUCCCCCAACCCCUUGAUCCCUUUAUUGACAAAAAAAUUUAUAAUAAAAAAACGCAGAAGGGUUUUAUCAUGAAUUCAUUGAUUUUUUUUACUUAUUAUCAACCCUUUUGAGGCAUGGAUCGAGGGUAGUUUUUUUACUUCACAAAAAGGCAUGUUGGAUUAUUCACCUAUAUACAUACCGAUAGAAAACUAAACAAAUAGAUUCACAUCGGAUAUCUUUACCCUUUAUAGAUAAUAUAAAGAUAGAUAAUAUAAAGGGUAUCCAUUUAUAUGCUCAUGUUCUAUUCAGUGGAAUAAAGAUAAAAUAUAAAUUAGCUUUUGGAGAGAUGGCUGAGUGGUUGAUAGCCCCGGUCUUGAAAACCGGUAUAGUUCGGAACAAAGAACUAUCGAGGGUUCGAAUCCCUCUCUCUCCUCUUUCUCGGCGAAUCAAUUUGUUUAUUUUCUUAGUUUCUAUCGAAUCUUUUUUUUUUCGAUAGAAACUAAGAAAAAAGGAAAAGAAAUUCUUAUUUAAAUACGACCCGCUCAAUUCAACCCAAUAUUUAUAGUAAUAUUUAUAGUAAAAUAAAAGUGAUUUCUACUUCAUAGGAUCUCAUGUCUCAAUUAAGAGGAGUCAUGGAAAGAACUGGUUCAAAAUCUCGAUCAAUUCCUUUUUCAAAUCCUGCGGCAGCUGCGCGAGCUCUUCCCGCGUGCCAUAAAUGGCCUACAAAUAGGAAGAAUCCUAGAACAAAAUGAGAAGUAGCUAACCAACUUCUAGGAGAAACAUAAUUGACUGCAUUAAUCUCUGUAGCUACGCCACCCACGGAAUUUAAGGAACCUAAAGGAGCAUGAGUCAUAUAUUCCGCAGAACGGCGUUCUUGCCAAGGCUGUAUAUCUUUUUUCAGUCUACUCAAGUCUAAACCAUUCGGACCCCUUAGAGGUUCUAACCAAGGAGCACGCAAAUCCCAAAAACGCAUAGUUUCUCCCCCAAAAAUAACUUCUCCUGUCGGGGAACGCAUUAGAUAUUUACCUAAACCUGUAGGUCCUUGAGCAGAUCCUACAUUAGCCCCAAGACGUUGGUCUCUAACUAGAAAAGUAAAUGCUUGAGCUUGAGAAGCUUCUGGCCCAGUGGGCCCGUAAAACUCACUAGGAUAAGCGGUAUUAUUAAACCAGACAAAGCAACAAGCAAUAAAACCAAAAACAGAUAAAGCACCUAAACUAUAAGAUAAGUAAGCUUCUCCAGACCAUACAAGUGCACGCCGAGCCCAUGCAAAAGGUUUGGUUAAGAUAUGCCAGAUUCCACCAAGUAUACAAAUGGAACCCAACCAUACAUGCCCCCCAAUUAUAUCUUCCAAAUCGUCCACACUAACAAUCCACCCUUCUCCCCCAAAAGGUGAUUUUAAUAAAUAUCCAAAUAUAAUACUUGGACUAAGGGUCAAAUUGGUUAUUUUUCUUACAUCUCCGCCCCCCGGAGCCCACGUAUCAUAUAUACCUCCAAAAUAAAGAGCCUUGAAUACUAGAAGAAACGCACCUAUACCUAACAAGAUUAAGUGAAUACCCAAAAUUGUAGUCAUUUUAUUUCUAUCUUUCCAUACAUAACCGAAGAAUGGAAAAGAUUCUUCAAGAGUCUCAGGUCCCAAAAGUGCAUGAUAAAUACCGCCAAAGCCCAAUACUGCAGAGGAAAUUAAGUGAAGUACUCCAGACACAAAGUAUGGAAAGGUGUCUAUAACUUCCCCCCCAGGACCUACCCCCCAACCUAGAGUAGCUAGAUGGGGAAGUAAAAUUAAACCUUGUUCAUACAUGGGCUUCUCGGGUACGAAAUGAGCCACUUCAAAAAGGUUCAUUGCUCCGGCCCAGAAUACUAUUAAUCCAGCAUGGGCUACAUGGGCUCCUAGUAGUUUGCCGGAUAAAUUGAUAAGUCGGGCAUUCCCGGCCCACCAAGCGAAACCGGUAGUUUCCUGGUCACGACCAGUUAAAGCUAAAGUUCCAUUAAAGAGCGUUUCCACGUGGUAGAACCUCCUCAGGGAAUAUAAGGUUUUCAUGAGGCUGAUCUUGAGCCGCCAUCCACGCACGAAUACCUUCGUUUAAGAGAAUAUUUUUGGUGUAGAAAGUCUCAAAUUCAGGAUCUUCCGCUGCGCGGAUUUCUUGAGAAACGAAGUCAUAGGCACGUAGGUUCAGGGCCAAACCGACUACCCCAAGAGCACUCAUCCAUAAACCAGUUACUGGUACAAAUAACAUAAAGAAAUGUAACCAACGUUUAUUGGAAAAAGCAACCCCAAAGAUUUGGGACCAAAAGCGAUUAGCAGUAACCAUUGAAUAAGUUUCUUCAGCUUGGGUUGGGUUAAAAGCACGGAAUGUAUUUGCGCCAUCACCAUCUUCAAAUAAAGUAUUUUCUACGGUGGCACCAUGAAUAGCGCAUAGUAGUGCCGCGCCCAAUACACCAGCAACUCCCAUCAUAUGAAAUGGGUUUAAUGUCCAAUUAUGAAACCCUUGGAAAAAGAGGAUGAAUCGAAAUAUAGCUGCUACACCAAAACUAGGAGCAAAGAACCAACCAGACUGACCCAGUGGAUAAAUAAGGAAUACAGAAACAAAAACAGCAAUUGGACCAGAGAAUGCGAUUGCAUUAUAAGGCCGCAAUUGAACAGAUCGAGCAAGUUCAAAUUGACGUAACAUGAAACCUAUUAAUGCGAAAGCGCCGUGGAGAGCAACAAAAGUCCACAGACCACCUAAUUGACACCAACGGGUAAAAUCUCCCUGUGCUUCAGGACCCCACAGUAACAACAAAGAGUGUGCUAAACUAUUAGCAGGAGUGGAGACUGCAGCGGUUAAGAAGUUGCAGCCUUCCAAAUAAGAACUUGCCAAUCCAUGAGUAUACCAUGAAGUUACAAAGGUCGUACCUGUGAACCAACCCCCCAAGGCGAAAUAGGCGCAAGGGAAGAGUAAUAGACCGGACCAACCUACAAAAACGAAACGGUCCCUCCGCAACCAGUCAUCCAUAAUAUCAAAUAAAUCAUUUUCAUCUUUGGUAAAUUUACCAAGAGCUAUAGUCAUAGCGAUCCUCCUAUUCAACUACUUCAACCAUUUCCCAACACCUCAUAGCAUUUUCAGGGAUGGGACGGACCCUCGAGGCUUUUAUCAUUUAUCUAUCUAUAUAUAGAGAGAGAUAAUUUUCUCGUACACUUUCCCUUCUUUUUUAAUUUUAAUUGGUUUCGAAUAAAAAAUAAUUUAUGAGUCUAUUGAUAUCUAGGGCAAAUCGAUGAACUCAAUGUAGUUAUUCCUUUCUAUUCUUAAAAAUCCUCCAAGUCAUAAAUCAUAAAAUCUCCUAUGACUCAAAAAUCCGAUAGAAAAUUUUUUUAAAAGAACUGUUCAAGAAACAAAUGAUCCCCUCUUUCACUCCUUAUACCCAGCGGAUCCUCAGACAUAUUUCUCUCCUUUCAUCAGAGAAUCUUAUUCUUGAAUCUUGUUUGUGAACUUACUUCUAUUUUGUCUAGGGAACUACUCUAGGAUCAUAGAUUUUAUAAAUUUCUAUUUGAUUUACACUUUUUUCUUUUUAUUAAUUAUUAUUUGAUUUUUUUAUUCAUUAUUAUUAUUAUUUUAUUAAUUAUUAAAAAAAAUGAAAUACAAUAUUAAAAAGAAAAAACUGUAAGUGAAAGUUUCUGUCUCACAUACAUUAAUUGCUGGAAAAAUAUCGUACGCAUCGAUAUGAAAAGAAAAUAUUUGAUACGCGAAGACAUAAUUGAAUGUAUUUUUCAAUUAUUUCUAUAAGAUAAAAUCUAUCUAUAUCGAUUUUAUCUUAUAGAAAUAAUUGAAAUUGAAAUGAAUUUUUUCUUGUAUUCGGAAAAAAAGAUGUUUCAAAUGAAUAAAAACUUGUUUGGUGGAACUUGGAAUAAGGCCCUUCUGAGUAAAGAAAGGGCAUAGCCCUUUUUUUUAUAGGACCUUCACAGGAACAAGAAGAUUUAAUUGGAAAUAUCGACAGAUUCUUAGGGAGUCUAAACCAAAAAAGUAUUAAAAAGAAAAUGAAAAAAUCAUUGUUCGAAUUUCAUCUUUAUCCAAUUUGAAUAUCAGAAUAGUAAAUAUAGGUAUAAUUCAAUGGGUUAGGUCCACUUACUUUUUGUUAAUCUUUCCCUUUUUAAAAAUUUUACACUUUUUUUUUUAAUUUCUUUCUUUACUAUAUUCUAAUGAAAUUCUAUGAUUACUUGAUUUUUUAUUACAAAUAGAAACUUGUUCCAAAUAUCCACAAUAUUUCGAUUCUUCCUUAAAAUAGAAAUACGACUGCUUUAUUUCUGGAAAAAAAGUAAAAAGCCCCUUAUCGGAUUUGAACCGAUGACUUACGCCUUACCAUGGCGUUACUCUACCACUGAGUUAAAGGGGCCCUAUUUGAUUCAAUUCCUAAAUAAGGAACUAGCUAAUAUGACUAGUACAUCUAAUUGUUACUGCGUAUACUUAUUAUAUAAAUUUAUAUAAAUUAUAUAAAUGGGAUUCUAAUAUAUGUACAUCAAUAUAUAAUUUAUAUAAUUUGCAUAAUGACUUAUCAAAGAACAAAAAAUGGUAUUUACCUAGUGAAUAGAAUAUAAUAAAAUAAUAAUAAUUUUUUCAUAUUGGAUUUGACCAAUAUCAAUGGAAUACAUUCUUUCAAAAUUGAGUCUGGAAGUCAUUCUAAUCAUAACACCAAAUUCAUUUCAUUGAUACAUAAAUGUACUCACCAAUUCAAAUAUUUCAUCGAAUCAUUGAUAAAUGGAUUCCAUUUGUCCUGUCCCUAAACCAAAUUCGUAUUUUAUUUUGAAAAGAAUUUCAAAAACUUGUUGAUCUCUAUUUACCCAAUUUCCAGAUUGAUUAUCGUUUUUUUAUUUCCCGGCUUAGGAUUAGAUAUAAAUAUACCUAAUACCUAUCGAAUCUUAGUAAUAAAGGACAGUGAAAGAAAUGAAGUUUUAACCUACCGUCCUUUCCAACAAACCAAUCAUUCCCGUAAAGGAUUUUCUCUUUCGAAAUCAAAAUGAUUAAUCAAAAAUUUCUAUGGAAUUCUGAAAGAUGUAAAAAUUUUUUUUAUCGAAUCAUAUCAUUCCAUUAUAUUGACAAUUCAAAAAAACUGUUCAUACUAUGAACGUAGUAUAAUGGCGGUCGGGCAAGUAUGCCCCCAUCGUCUAGUGGUUCAGGACAUCUCUCUUUCAAGGAGGCAGCGGGGAUUCGACUUCCCCUGGGGGUAGGGUGCUACGAAAGGAGGUUGAUCAUGAAUUUUCAAUAAAAACUGAAAUGUAUUCUUCCUGUUCCUGGGUCGAUGCCCGAGCGGUUAAUGGGGACGGACUGUAAAUUCGUUGGCAAUAUGUCUACGCUGGUUCAAAUCCAGCUCGGCCCAAUAAUUUGCCAAUCCACUAUGAAGUUAUAUAACCCAUUUAUUGUUCUCCGGAAAUGACUGAUGUGCUCUGAUACGGAAGAAUCCAAAUAUUAAACAUCCCUAUUCUUUUUUUUUCUGUAUUCUAUCUUUCCACAAAUUCGAAUCUUGCUAAUAAUCUCGAUUCAUAUCAAGAUCUGUAAAUAGAAAAUCUAGGGAAAAUAUUUAAAAAAACAAAAAAAUAUUUUUUUGUUUUUUUUCAUUGAUUCCAUUUUCAAUCGAUUUGUCAAUAACAAAAAGAUUGCUCGUAAUCUGUGUCGAUCUCACAAAAGUGCAUAUCGAUAUAGAUAUCAAUCAAUAUAUACAAAAAUCCGCCUCUUUCAUUUACAGCAAAAUGGUUCGAAUCCGAAAUAGAAAAAGAAAAGCGUUUGAAAGAAACCGUAAAAAUAUGUAUACUGUACACCCCUUUCCCUGGGAUUGUAGUUCAAUUGGUCAGAGCACCGCCCUGUCAAGGCGGAAGCUGCGGGUUCGAGCCCCGUCAGUCCCGAUGGAUCCAACCCCCCCAAAAAAAAGACAUCUAUUCAUUUUUUGUGUGAAAGGGAAUAAAAUGGAUAAACAAAAUAUUAUUUCUAAUAAGGAAGGAAAGGAAAUUUUGAAUUGCAUCAAAAAAAAUGUUUUUUUGUUUUAUUUAGUAUGGAUAAAAGAUCUUCCUAUGUUAUACUAUUUAAUUCUCGACGAUGAGUCGAUUUGAUAACUAAGAUAUUGUUAUUCGUGAUAUUGAUCCAAUUUGAUAUCAUCGAAAUCCAAUUUAUACCAUUGUUGAAUUAAUUAUCGAUGAAAGAUUUAUCAUCUCUAUGGGAUUAAAUCCCGAAUUUUUUAUUGGAAAUUUAAGAGAAAUAAAACAUAAUAAAGAUUAUGGAAGUAAAUAUUCUUGCAUUUAUUGCUACUGCACUGUUUAUUCUAGUUCCUACUGCUUUUUUACUUAUAAUUUACGUAAAAACGGUAAGUCAAAGUGACUAAUUUCACUGAAAUCUGACUUCUUCAUUUUUAUCAAUGUAAUCAAUGAUUAAAAAAAAUGAAAAAGGUUUUCAAUUUUUGGUCUUAGUCUAAAAAAAAAAGAUCGGACUACAAUCACCGUAAUCCAGAUAGUAGAAAUCAAAUAUAUUUGAUUUCUACUAUCUGACUGAGAAUUGCGUCCAAUUUUUUUUUAGUUUCAUCUAUUUGAUUUGUAUUGAUUCCAAUGAAUCUGAAAUAAUCAAAAAACAACUCUUAUUCUUCGGAUUCUUUUUACAAUCCCGGUAUCAUAUUAAAAAAAUAAAAAGGGGGGCAGGAAUGGGGAUUACGCGGUCCCCCAUUUUCUAUAUAUAUAAAACCUGGUUAAGCGUCAGUUCAUCGAAAGAGAAAUUUUAAGAAGAAUUCGGUUGGAAUAGGAAGCAAUUUCCUAUUCUAUUGGAUUCUCUUGAUUUUCUCAAAAUACGAAUAUAGAUAUAAUUCAAAUCUUUGUUUGAUUGAAAGAGUAUUUUCAAUUUCUAUAAUAUACAUAUACAUAGAAUACAUUACACUACUAGAAUAUAAUAGAACCCUGAAAUGCAGAUCUAUUUUAUAUUUGUUUAUAUUUGAACUCAAUUAAUUAGUAUAAAUGAAAUACUUUAAUUCAAUAGUUAAAGUUAAGAAAUUGAAAAACCCAAGUAGAAAACAAAAUGGGUACUUUGAUCCCUUAACUCAAUUUUGAGUAUCCCUAUAGUCCACUUCUUCCCCAUACUACGAGGGAAAGAGAAAAUGAAAAAACUACCAUUAAAGCAGCCCAAGCAAGACUUACUAUAUCCAUGUAAAUUUUGUCUCCUAUCUCUAAAAAUAUGAAGGAAUUUUUUAAUUAUUAUUCAAAAAUUUUUCUUCUAUUAUUUUCUUUUGUAUUAUUCACUAAAAAGACUAUAAUAAUAGCGGAAUUACUGUUAGAGAGUCAAAAAAAGGAUUCAGGGCUAACACCAUUGACGAAAAACAAGAAUCCUUUCUAUUAGAACAUCUAAAAAGUUUUUUUUAUAUGAUUUUUAGUAAAAUAGGAAAAUAUUAAGCAUAAACAACACAUCCGGAAACAUCCUCGGAAGUUUUAAGUAAAUGAAUGUUACUAACAGGUAGGAAUAAUAAGAUUUCUGUUUUACCCCCCCAUUUCAUUAAUUCAUUAAGUAAUUUCAUUAAGUAUAAAAAAAAGAAUCAAGACAGAUUCAUUUGCAUACUUAUACUCUUUCUUAUUUCUAUUUGAAAAAAUUUCGUAAUGUCUCCCGAUUCGUUCUCUAAAAAAACUAAAAUAAUCGGAAGAUAGCUUGCCUAUUCAUUUUUUUUACUAGAGGUUAGUGAAAAGAAAGAUUUUCUUUUUUCUAUUCGAUUUUAGAAUAAAAAAAUUUUGUAAAAUAUUUUAAAUUAUAUAUAUAAGAAAUUAUAUUUAUAUUAUAUAAUUAUAUAUAUAUAUACUUUUAAGAUUAAGAAAGCGAAUUAGCUAAAUUAAAAACUAUUCAAUCUAACUAAUCUAACUAAUAUUAAUGAAAUGUGGAAGCACUAAUAGACUUUCCAUCAGUCUGUAUACAAGGUUUUUCUUCCGCCCGUUCUCUAACUAAAAAUGGAAUUCCCUAUCCAACUUAUCCUUAUCCAAUCUAAUUCGAGACCCAGUCAGUAGACGGACACUACAAUAGUUGUGUAGUGAAAGAACUAUCAUUUCUAAAUUUAUGGAUUCCUUUUCACUACUUGAAUCCGAGACGAAAAUAUUUACAUACAGCAUUUUUUAGAAUAAACCUACUGAUGCUUAGAAUUUAUAAUCAAACGAAAGUCUCAAGACUCCUUUUCCCUAGCUUGCUUCUAUUGGAAAAAAGUUUUCUAUAAAAAACGUAAUACAAUAUUUCAUUUCAAAUGUCUUAUUGCUUAGGCGACACCCGGAUUUGAACUGGGGAAAAAGGAUUUGCAGUCCCCCGCCUUACCACUCGGCCAUGCCGCCAAAUAGAUAUAGAUAUAUAAAUAUAUGAAGUAUAUGAGAAUACCCCUUUUUUUUCUAUUGAAAAAAAAAAAAAAUAUCGAGACAAUUCGCAACCGUUAACUAUUCAUUUAUGAAUUAUUCUUUAAGAUUUGAAUCUAAAAUGGUUUUUUUCUUAAUGAGAUAAGAAAAGAAAAUUGAUACAUAACCAAUCCAUAUUGCUUUUUUAUUGAAAAAAAAACUUUCUCCAUUCCAAUUAUAACAGCAACUGUCAAUAUAUGUAAACCCUAGAACAUAAAUUUGAAUAGUUACACAGAUAUUAUCUAAUCGGGUAUCUUAUCCAUCCAUAUAUAUAUAAUACCGAUACUAUGCGGAACGGAAUUAUCAAGAAAUUGUCGUGCUUCUCCCUAUUUUACAAUUUUUCUAUUCAAUUUAUUGAAUAGAAAAAUUGUAAAAUAGGGAGAAGCACGACAUGUUAUGUGUUGUCCCAAACAAAUAUGACUGCAAUUUACAAUCCGAAUUCAUUUUUUCUGGUAUCCAAUUGAAUUGGAAUAUGGAAUAUCAUAAUAAUGAUAGAACCGGGAUGCAUUUUUUUAUAUUCCUUAAAAUGAAAAAAAUCUUGAAAUCCGGGUCGAAUUUUUCAAUUCAUUUCCAUUUUGAGAUUAUAAUUUAGAUUCUAUCUGUUUGUUUUGUUGCAAAUUCCUUCCUUCGAAGUUGAGUAUAAAAUUCUAUUUUAUUUAUUCCUCUUUUCAUAAUAGGUAUUUCAUACACGGGAUUAGUUAAAAUUUCAUGUAAUUCAGUAUAAAGAACAGAAAUUCCAGUAUUGCUAAAUUGAUUCAUGUGAUUUGAUGAAGAAUGGCAGCAAAUCGGUGGAAUAUUUUUCGAUAAAAUUCACGGGGAAA
rnacentral:lncRNA from 1 species